UUUAAUUCCUUGUGUUUCCUGUAAAUGUAAUCUAAUGGUAAGAACUGCGCAUUUUCUAUCAUUUUGAACUUAUUUUGCAGUACAAAGCUCUUGAUGUUUCCUUUUGCCUUUCAACAUAUAUUUUUUUUAAUGACAAAUUCAUUAAUUUUAAGAAGUUUGAUCUUUUUAGUCCACGAGAUAAUACAUUUCUUUUUCUUAAACUUCGUACUUUCCUUUCUACUAAAAGGUCCUUCAUCUUCACUGUUCUUUUUCUUAAUCCUCACAUAAGUAAGUGUUCCUCUGCCAAUAACUCCCCUCCAUGAAGGCCUAGAUAUCUGACAAUGUGUGUGGUGUUUUUCUUUUUGCAUUCUCUAAUUAUCUUGUCUUUGUUUCUCAGUUACAGAUCCUCAGCUCCAGGGUACCUGAUUUUCAUUUUCAUCACUUCAUUCAGCUUUCUCAGCAAGGAAGAUUGGCCUCUUCACUGGAAGACCUUUGUCAGUGGCAUAUGCAUUUCAGAGGACUUCCACCUUCUUUGUACAAGCUUGGUGAAAUACAUCACUGUAGGAGCUUCCCCCAGUGACCUGACCCUAAAGUUGCACUUUAGAGAUGGCUGCCUUUUAAUUAUUUUGGUGCUGUUUGUGAAGAACUGGGUGAAGACACAUACAGCAUCUCUGGUGGUAGAGAAAUAUAAUGGAUUAAGGACAUGA
rnacentral:lncRNA from 1 species